AGGACGAACGCUGGCGGCGUGCUUAACACAUGCAAGUCGAGCGGUAAGGCCUUUCGGGGUACACGAGCGGCGAACGGGUGAGUAACACGUGGGUGAUCUGCCCUGCACUCUGGGAUAAGCCUGGGAAACUGGGUCUAAUACCGGAUAUGACCUGCUCUCGCAGUGGGGGUGGUGGAAAGAUUUAUCGGUGCAGGAUGGGCCCGCGGCCUAUCAGCUUGUUGGUGGGUAAUGGCCUACCAAGGCGACGACGGGUAGCCGACCGUGACGGAGGGUGACCGGCCACGACGUGGGACUGAGACACGGCCAGACUCCGUACGGGAGGCAGCGAGUCGGGGAAUAUUGACACGAAUGGGCGUAAAGGCCUGAUGGCGGCGACGCCGCGUGAGGUA
rnacentral:rRNA from 1 species